CAGGGAAGCAGGAAGGUCUGUGUGUGUGACACGCAUUCCAGGCCAUCUGCCUGCACAUUCACUAAGAGUGGGUGAGUGCAGCCUUCCCAAGAAUUUACACAGAUUGCUUUUUUUAAAAUUGUGGAGACAGGUUUUGUUUUGUUUUUUUAAAUGUUUUUCUUUGUGUUUGGCCAACUUCUGUAAUAUUUAGGUCAUGCCUCUUCCUGCUCUACUGGGCAGACUGUUGAGAUGGGGAACUCAGUCUGGCUAGCGUUUGGCUGGAUCAGACCUGGGUCAAGGUUAUGAGCUGGUUAUGAGCCGACUGUAUGGAGAGGAGCCUCAGCUUAUUUUCACUCUAGUGGCGAGUCCAGAGUCGUCCCAGCUUUUGCACCACUUCCCUCAUCCUCACUGCAGAUGGAGGGGGAAGCCAGGCCAGGAUGAGCAUGAUUGCUCUGUGUGGGGGAUGGCGGGGGCUCAAAGUGACAUGGAUCACGCUCUCUAGCAGGAUCCAUUCUCUGUAAUUCACCUGAGGGAGGAGCCUUUAUCUGUGUUAUGCAUCCCUUUGCAUGAGAGUAAUAACUAAUCACAAUGGUAGAGUCAAACACAGGCCCAAGAACGCACUGUUCUCUUCCUCAACCAACGCUCAGCUGGUAUUAACGUUCCCAUUUUGCAGAUAAGGACGUGAACUCACAGAGAUCAAGAAUUUGACUGAUAAGGUCAGAGAGCUAUGAGAAACACAGCUGGGAUCAGAACCAUCUUUGGGGAGUUUCCGCUGUGGCUCAGCAGCAAUGAACCCUGCUGUUAUCCAUGAGGAUGUGGUUCGAUCCCUGGCCUCGCUCAGUGGGUUAAGGACCCGGUGUUGCCGUGAGCUGUGGUGUAGGUUGCAGCUCUGAUUCUACCCCUAGCCUGGGAACUUCCAUAUGCUACGGGUGUUGCCCUAAAAAGACAAAAACAAAGCAAAACAAAACAAAAAGAACCAUGUUUUUGAUUCUUAAAUCUAGGCUGGGGUUUCUCAACCUUGGCACUGUUGAUACUUGGGGACAGAUAAUUCUUCAUUGUGGGGCUAUCCCAUACGUGGUAGGAUGUUCCCAGACCUCUACCCACUGGAUGCCAAUGACACUUUCCCCACUCCCACCAAUCCAAAACCCCAGAAUGUCUCCCUCCAGACAUUACCCCAGUUGCGGGCCACUAACCUAGUCCUUUCCAUGGGAAAAUUUCCAUUGUAUACCUCCACAAAGAACACGCUUAGGGGUAGCCUUCAGCACCUAACUCUGGGCAACAUCGGAGCCCAGCCUUCUGGUUUUCCUUUCAGUCUCUCCUUCAAACAGCUCUUCUGCUCACCAGUCCUACAGGCAGUUAUGUCAUUCAUUCAUUCACUCAUUUAUUCAAUGACUAUGUAUUGAAUGCCUACUCCACACUGGGAGACAUGGAAAUAAAUGAAAACUCCUAUCCUUUGGGGGAAGUUAUGUUCCAGGGAACAGAAAACACUAAACAGAUGUUAUAACCCCUGUACCUGCACAAAUUAUUUGCAUUCUCACAGCAGCCGUUGUUAUUUCACUUGUAGGUUAAAUAGCUGUCUGGGGUCUCAGCCAGGAAAUAGUGGAGUUGAGAGUUAAACCCAGGACAGUGGCUCCAGGCCUGUGCACCUGACAGCUGCAUUCUCCUGCAUUUCCAAAUUUGUAUCUUCGUUCUGCCUCUCCUUCAAUUGCUUUGAAUAUUGCCACAUAGUGUCCUGGAGUCUUUUCAGACUCAUUGGUUAACCUAAAGUUGUCAUCUUCUCCCCCAAAUCAGCUGUCUGCUUUUAUCUAUCCCAGUAGCAUUGCCGUUCUCCCUGUAAACCAAGCUCAGCAUUGCGUUUCCGUCAUGGAGUCAUGACCUUCUCCAUUCCUGUAACAUCUCCAUUCUCAAGUCCUGUUGGCUUUGAAGACAAAUCUCUUAUCUUCAUCCCAGUGACCCAAAAAGGCAAGCCCAAUUUUUACUCCUUUUUUAUAGAUGAGGACAGUAAGGAUCCAAGAGGUCAAGUGCCUUGCUCAAGGCCACACAGCUAAAAGAAGUUAAAACUUAACCCCUAUCCUUUGAUCACAGACUUUGCACUAUGAACAAAUUGUUUCAGGUAGAAAUUUACAUCUCUGAAUCUGCCUCAGGAGCCCAGAGAAGGAAAGGACUACAGCUUAAGCCAUGUCUGGAUCUCUUACACAGAAUUGGGGACUUGUGUUGACUCAAAGAACUGGAACUAUGAAGUCCAAAUUGUCAGGACACAACUCCGAUGUGGUGUCCUAAAAAUUACUGCUCUGACAUUCCACCAGAUGGCAGUAUUUUCCCCGUGAAAGAGGACAUGAGGCCAUGUCACAGAGAGGCUUGGUUGAAGUGACCAAAGAAUUUGAAUUUGAAGUGGUUUCCAACCACACACACACACACACACACACACACACACACACACACACACACACACCACACACACACUGUUUAAAAUCUUGCUGAACUUAAAAUGCUGAUGAAAUCUUGAGGACUAUGCGGUGGAGCAUAAAUGUAAUUCGACCUCUAGUCAGACCUUUGGCAUUUCCUAGCUAGAAGACCCUGUGGAAAUCUCUUAAUGUCUCAGCUUUUAUUUUCCUAUCUGCAAAGUGGGUAUAAGAAUAUCCGCUUAGUCCCCCUCACAGACAGGGCUAUCGUGAAACUGAAAUUGGCUAUGUGUGAAACUAUAGAUGACUUUGUAGAUAUACACUCUUACAAUGUUGGAUGCUAUGAAAUUAAUUUAACUGUUUGUUCAGUAAUUAGUUUUGUAGAAACGCUUUCCCUAAAGCCUUGCUACUCUUAAGUGUGGUCUGCAGACCAGCAGAUCUGUAUCACCUGAGAGUUUGUUAGAAUUACAGAAUAUAACUCAUCUUGGACUACUGCAUUUUAAUGCUGUGUAUUUUAACAAGAUCCUGAGGUGGUUCAUAUGCAUCAUAAAGUUUUGAUACUGGCUAGAAAAUUCUUAGGUUUAGUGAAUAAAGAAAAUAGCAAGAAAAACAAGUUCUGGAGUUCGUUUGGGAGUUAACACUGAGUUCGUUCAGUUCAGUGUUGCCCAUAAUACGAGACGUGUUCACCAUGAUGAGCCUGAGGCACCUUAAGCAAAUUGUUUCCAAAGCUCAAAAAAGGUCUCUGUGUCCCAAGUUAUGACUUAGGGAGAGUGAAUGGAGGUUGAAAACAUUCUGGAGUUGAAAUCAGUCAGGUCAGACUAGGCUAUGCUGUGAUGACAAACAACCUGACAUUUUGGUGGCUUUAAAACCUGAUAGGUAUGUUGGCAUGACAUGAAGCAGGGGGCUCUGCUCAGGCACUCAGGACCCAGGCAGGUGGAGCUGCCGCCAUCCCAAACAGUGCAUGAAAAGAGCUCCAGAGAGUGAAGUGCACUGGUGGGAAGAUGUUCCACCUGGAAAUGAUACAUGGGGUGGGGGUGGGGAGCAGGAAGCGCAAUCCUCUCCUGUGUUUGGAAGGUCAACAACUAGAAAUAUUCAGUGAACAGCACUGAUAACCACCACAAAGGUUAUCUCUGAGCUGUUCAGAGCAGCAGCUCCCAGGACAGGAGAACUGACCAGGGACAGCUCAUUAAAUGUACAGAUCCCAGAGCCCCACACCAGGGAUCCAGCUAGAACCAGGAAUCUGUUUUACCGAGAGCCCCAGGUGAUUCGGAUGCACUCUUUCCACAGACCAGCAUCUGGAAACCACUGAGUUUGAGCCCUCCUACCCCUCAACCCCAUCUUGAACGUAAAAGUCACUGCGUCCAUUUCUCAGGGUUGCUGUAGCAAGUUACCCCAAACUUGGUGGCUUCAAAGAACAGAAAUGCAUUCUCUCCCAGUUCUAGAAGCCAGGAGGUCUAAAAUUAAGCUCUUUCCAGAGGCUCUGAGACAGACUCUGUUCUCUGCCUCUCUCCUGGCCAGUGGUGGCUGCUGGCCAUCCUUGGUCUUUCUUGGCUUAUAACUGUAUAAUCCAAUUUCUGCCUCCAUCCUCACAUGGCCAUCUCUGUGUUUCUGUGUCUUCUGUCAUAAGGACACUUGUCAGGAGUUCCCAUCAUG
rnacentral:lncRNA from 1 species